CCCAAAUCCAUCGAGCGCCCAUCUUUUCCCUCUUUCAUCUUCCAUCGAGCGCCCACAUUCAAACGGCCCCUUAGAUUUCCUCCAUCGAUCUCCAUGUCCUGUCCUGCGAUGGACCCUUCAUAGACGCACCUCAUCAAUCCUUCACUAGCCAUGAAGAAGAUCUGCUCUCUCUCUCUCUCUCUCUCUCUCUCUCUCUCUCUAUUCUAGGGAGGGAAAUGGAUUCCCAAAAGGACGUCGGGAUUCUCGCCAUGGAUAUCUACUUCCCCCCUACAUGCGUUCAAUAGGAAGCUCUGGAGGAUCAUGAUGGUGCAAGUAAAGGGAAAUACACUAUUGGACUUGGGCAAGAUUGCAUGGCCUUUUGUACGAAGUUGGAAGAAGUCAUUUCUAUGAGCUUGAUAGUUGUUACUUCCCUUCUUGAGAAAUAUGGGAUUAACCCAAGAAAAAUUGGUCGCCUGGAAGUGGGCAGUGAGACUGUGAUAGACAAGCAAAUCCAUAUAGACUUGGCUGAUGCAAAUCUUUGAGGAAUUGGGGAAUAUGGACAUCGAAGGAGUUGAUUCAACAAAUGCAUGCUAUGGUGGAACUGUAGCUUUAUUCAAUUGUGCAAAUUAGGUGGAGAGUAGCUCUUGGGAUGGACG